rnacentral:rRNA from 1 species
CAGCAGCCACGGGAACACGAAGGGUGCAAGCGUUACUCGGAAUUACUGGGCGUAAAGCGUGCGUAGGUGGUGGUUUAAGUCCGUUGUGAAAGCCCUGGGCUCAACCUGGGAAUUGCAGUGGAUACUGGGUCACUAGAGUGUGGUAGAGGAUAGUGGAAUUUCCGGUGUAGCAGUGAAAUGCGUAGAGAUCGGAAGGAACAUCUGUGGCGAAGGCGACUAUCUGGGCCAACACUGACACUGAGGCACGAAAGCGUGGGGAGCAAACAGGAUUAGAUACCCGUGUAGUCCCUGUCUCUUAUAC